UCAAUUUUAUAAUAAAAUUAAAUAGUUCCAGUCUUAAAUAUCUUUCUUAUUUUCUUCGUAGGACGACCACGACGUAAUGCAUUAAUGGAAGUACAAAUGCCAGUGAUUAAGAACGCCGAAUGCAAAAUAGCUUAUUCCAAAUUUCCUAAUGCACCUGAUAUCACUGAUGGUAUAAUAUGCGCCGAACAUGCUCAGGGUGGAGAGGAUUCUUGUACGGUAAUUAAGUUACAGAGUUACUACAAACUAUACGGUAUCUGAAGACACGUCGAUUCGAAUUAACAUCAAAUCGACGUCUUAAACAUUAAAAAUAAUAGAUAAACACAAUUUAAUAGUUUUGCCCACUUCUCACACCUCGUUAUGGUAUUUAAUCUAAUUUCCUUCUAAUCUUAGUUUUGCUCAAAAUACAUAUAACAUGUACGUUAUAAAUUGGAGUAUUUCAAUACACAAAUCAAUAGAAGAUUAUUACUGUAUAUAAGUAUAAUUUCAAUACAAUUCGAUCGAUAUAUUUCAGUAUCUUUGAUUAAAAAUUUAACGAUCCUUUCAGGCUGACCGCGGCGGACCACUGCUGAUACAACAUGAAUUAACCUCGUAUUUAAUAAGUAUUGUGUCUUAUGCUUAUAAGUGCGGCACAGCUGGGUAUCCCAGCGUUUACACUAGGGUCACAUCGUACCUUGACUUCAUUCUCCAAGCGAUGCAAUAAUAUGAUAUUACUGUUCCAUAAAUAUCAUUGUGUAAAAAACGUAAAGUUGGAUUUUCUUAUUGUGGAGAUAAGAAACAGCUCAAAUUUACAUUGUUUUGUACGUUACAAAUUAUAGGCUUAAAAUGUACGAAAUGUAACUUUGAAACGACACUAAUUUUUUACGCACGAUAAACCUCCACGACUUAGAUUAUAGAUUCCUAUACGACUCUCAGUAAAAAUUUAUCCGCACUCCAGAUAGUUAAAACUUCUGUCGACCGUAUUGAUCCAUCUGCACUCUUCGUAUGACGUCAAUAUCUGUUCAGUGCUGCUGCGCAGGUUUCUUUGUGUUACGUCAAUUCGUUUGUGACCGUUGCGCGAGUAAUGGCGCUUUGCAAUGGUGAUUUGCAGGAAAACAGUGCAGGAUGCUGUGAUUCGUUUCUUGUGGUCGGAGGUUAUGUUUGAUGCCUAUAUUUAUCAAAGAUUUAAUGCACAUUAUGGAGAAAGUGUUUUGUCACGAAGUGUGUUUGAAUGGGCACAAAAGUUCAAAGAAGAUCGCACGAGUGUUAUGAAAAAACAGCUGGACGCCCGUCCACAUCCACGAUGACAACAUUGAACGUGCUCAUGAACUUAUGCUCUAUGGAAUAGACGAGUGACACUGGAUAAUGUGGCAAAUCAUUUGCAAAUCAGCCACGGCUCUGCUUAUGCAAUAGUGCAGGACAGAUUUGGAUUUUAAAAAGUUUGUGCGAGAUGGAUGCCGAAAAAGCUGAUGAAAAGGUGAAGACGACGAUGCAUUCGUGGUUCGCAGCUCAGCCCAAAACAUUUUUUAAUGAGAAAAUACAAAGGUCCUUCGGCAAAUGGACAAAGUGUAUACAGAAAUCGAGUGAUUAUGUCAAAAAAUGAUGUAUGUCUUUUUUGACAAUUGCUUAAAAUAAAUUCUACACCGACAGAGCGGGCUGUUAAUCUAGAGGCUGGAGUACAAAGAAGUGGCACAAUGAUGUGGGCUGAUGACAUUUAUAAUUAUCAAGGAAUCACCCCUACAUUCGCUCAGAAUUUUAAUGAAACUGUCCCUUGGGAAGGAAGAACUGAUACCUUGAUAUCACGGUUUGUACAUCCUAUAUAUACGACAAAUUUUAGAACAUUAUAUAACGAAGAACCAGAUCGUCGUGGCCAUGUGAUGUGAAUAAAAGGACUUGAAUUUGAUGAUAUUUUUAUAAUGUUAGAUAACAUAACUAAGUAUCUUCACAGUAAGAUA